rnacentral:snRNA from 1 species
AUGCUCAUUUCGGCAGCACACACACUAAAACUAGAAUGAUACAGAGAAGAUCAGCACAGCCCCUGCGCAAGGAUGACAUGGAAAUUUGUGAAGCAUUCCAUAUAACU